rnacentral:lncRNA from 1 species
GUGGUCAUUUUCUUAAUUUUAGGGCAUUCAGCAGAUGAGAAGGAUGAUACCUUGACCAAUCAGAAUGAAGACCUGGGGUCUGUUUCUUGUGAGAUCACUGGUGAGUUUGAAAACAGAUUUAAUAAUUAUAUGACUCUGUUUAUUUAAAGCUACUGAUUAUGUUUGAGAAAAUUUAAUGUGCCUGGAGCAGUCUCCCUGCCUUGGG